AGUGAACGCUGGCGGCAGGCCUAACACAUGCAAGUCGAACGAGUGGCGGACGGGUGAGGAAUACAUCGGAAUCUACUCUGUCGUGGGGAACAAAGUAGGGAACCUUACGCUAAUACCGCAUACGACUGUAUGAGCCGAUGUCGGAUUAGCUAGUGGGCGGGGUAUAGGCCCACCAAGGGGUCGAUCCGUAGCUGGUCUGAGAGGAUGAUCAGCAACACUGGAACGGAGACACGGUCCAGACUCCUACGGGAGGCAGCAGUGGGGAAUAUUGGACAAUGGUCGCAAGCCUGAUCCAGCCAUCCCGCGUGGGUGAAGAAGGCCUUCGGGUUGUAAAGCCCUUUUGUUGGGAAAGCGGUACCCAAAGAGUAAGCAACGGCUAACUUCGUGCCAGCAGCCGCGGUAAUAC
rnacentral:rRNA from 1 species